GGGGUUGUGGCUCAACGGCAGAGCACUCACCUAGCAUGUGUGAGGCCCUGGGUUUGAUCCUCAGCCCCA
rnacentral:tRNA from 1 species